rnacentral:rRNA from 1 species
UACCAGCACCCCGAGUGGUCGGGGACGUUUUAUUGGGCCUAAAGCAUCCGUAGCCGGUUCUACAAGUCUUCCGUUAAAUCCAGCUGCUUAACAGAUGGGCUGCGGAAGAUACUAUGGAGCUAGGAGGCGGGAGAGGCAAGCGGUACUCGAUGGGUAGGGGUAAAAUCCGUUGAUCCAUUGAAGACCACCAGUGGCGAAGGCGGCUUGCCAGAACGCGCUCGACGGUGAGGGAUGAAAGCUGGGGGGAGCAAACCGGAUUAGAAACCCCCGGGUAG